GAUUAGCCCCGAUGGAAGCGGCAUCCUUUUUAUAACGCUUUUUUGCCUUAUAAAAAGAUAUAGCGUACAGCGGGAGUAAAG
rnacentral:sRNA from 1 species